GCUUGGACUUCAAAUUUAAUUAUUUUUGACCGCGCGCAAUGCGGUUAUUAGAGUCAGUGUUUGUUGCGUAAUAGUAUUUCUGAUAUUUUUUAGAGCACAAUAGCUCACAAAUUUGAUUAUAAUAAUUAUACGCGAAAGUAGAAUCAGUGCUUGUACGCCGAUUAUUCAACAUGAACGGACGUGUUAAUAGCUUCUUAUUUUUAUUUUUUUUUUAUUAAAUUUUCGUUUUCGGUACAGGUUAGAGUCAGUGCUUCUCUCAUCAAUAUAAGCGAUCAUCCAUCAUGCGAAGAGAUGCUGAUAACUGAUUGGACUUCAAAUUUAAUUAUUUUUGACCGCGCGCAAUGCGGUUAUUAGAGUCAGUGUUUGCUUCGUCAUAGUAUUUUAAAUAUUUUUUAGAGCACAAUAGCUCUGAUUAAAUUUAAUUAUAAUAAUCAAACGCGAAGAUAGAAUCAGUGUUUGUUCGCCGAUUAUAAUUUAUACUGACACGUUAAUAGUUCCUUAUUUUUUAUUUUUUUUUAUUUUUAAAUAUUCGUUUUCGGUACAGGGUAGAGUCAGUGUUUUUCUCAAGAGAAUAAGGCGAUCAUCCAUCACGCGAAGAGAUUUCUUCCAUUCUCUCCUACCUGAUGACUUCUCGAUGAUUUCUGGGCUACAAUAACAGUGAGGGGAUUCGUCGCAUCGUAUGGUGAGUCGCAUGUUUUUUGGUUCCUCCGGUCAUUCAACCAUGUCGUAGGAUGAAAGAUCCGAAUCGACACGAGUGAUUGGUUGUAUACGUAGAAAUUUUGCACGAGCACAGUGACCGCGGGUAUUUAUUAUACUCGUGAGUAGUAACAUUGCUUUUUUGUGUGUUUUAUUUAUUAGAUUAGGAUAGGUUUUCUUGCACAUCGCGUUUUUAAUAAAAUAAUAUUGAUUUUAUA